UACGUAGGGCGCAAGCGUUGUCCGGAAUUAUUGGGCGUAAAGAGCUCGUAGGUGGCUAGUCGCGUCUGCCGUGAAAACCCGAGGCUCAACCUCGGGCGUGCGGUGGGUACGGGCAGGCUAGAGUGUGGUAGGGGAGACUGGAACUCCUGGUGUAGCGGUGAAAUGCGCAGAUAUCAGGAAGAACACCGAUGGCGAAGGCAGGUCUCUGGGCCAUUACUGACACUGAGGAGCGAAAGCAUGGGUAGCGAACAGGAUUAGAUA
rnacentral:rRNA from 1 species